rnacentral:rRNA from 1 species
UACGAAGGGGGCUAGCGUUGCUCGGAAUCACUGGGCGUAAAGGGUGCGUAGGCGGGCCUUUAAGUCGGGGGGGAAAUCCUGGAGCUCAACUCCAGAACUGCCUUUGAUACUGAGGAUCUUGAGUUCGGGAGAGGUGAGUGGAACUGCGAGUGUAGAGGUGAAAUUCGUAGAUAUUCGCAAGAACACCAGUGGCGAAGGCGGCUCACUGGCCCGAUACUGACGCUGAGGCACGAAAGCGUGGGGAGCAAACAGG